rnacentral:rRNA from 1 species
GAACUCUUCGGAGGGAAGGCAGYGGAAUGAGCGKYGUKACGGGUGAGUAACACGUAAGGAACCUGCCUCAAGGAUUGGGAUAACUCCGAGAAAUCGGAGCUAAUACCGGAUAGUUCAACGGACCGCAUGGUCCGCUGAUGAAAGGCGCUYCGGCGUCACCUUGAGAUGGCCUUGCGGUGCAUUAGCUAGUUGGUGGGGUAACGGCYCACCAAGGCGACGAUGCAUAGCCGACCUGAGAGGGUGAUCGGCCACACUGGGACUGAGACACGGCCCAGACUCCUACGGGAGGCAGCAGUAGGGAAUCUUCCACAAUGGACGAAAGUCUGAUGGAGCAACGCCGCGUGAGUGAUGAAGGUUUUCGGAUCGUAAAACUCUGUUGUAAGGGAAGAACACGUACGAGAGGGAAUGCUCGUACCUUGACGGUACCUUACGAGAAAGCCACGGCUAACUACGUGCCAGCAGCCGCGGUAAUACGUAGGUGGCAAGCGUUGUCCGGAAUUAUUGGGCGUAAAGCGCGCGCAGGCGGCCUUUUAAGUCUGAUGUGAAAGCCCCCGG